GACGAACGCUGGCGGCGUGCCUAACACAUGCAAGUCGAACGAGGUCCAUCCUUCGGGAGAAGACCUAGUGGCGAACGGGUGAGUAACACGUGAAGAACCUGCCCCGAAAGACCGGGAUAACCCUCCGAAAGGAGAGCUAAUACCGGAUACCCCCACCGAACCGCAUGGUUUGGUGAGGAAAUGGAUUCCGCUUCGGGAGGGCUUCGCGGCCUAUCAGCUAGUUGGUGGGGUAACGGCCACCAAGGCAUCGACGGGUAGCUGGUCUGAGAGGACGAUCAGCCACACUGGGACUGAGACACGGCCCAGACUCCUACGGGAGGCAGCAGUGGGGAAGUCUUGCGCAAUGGGCGAAAGCCUGACGCAGCAACGCCGCGUGGGGAUGAAGGCUCUCGGAUUGUAAACCCCUUUCAGCAGGGACGAAUCAAGACGGUACCUGCAGAAGAAGCCCCGGCUAACCUACGUGCCAGCAGCCGCGGUAAU
rnacentral:rRNA from 1 species